GGUAAUUGCUUUGCUUCCUCUACCUGCCUUUACCAAGAGAUGCCUGGCCAGAAGAGCGAGGAAUUAAAGUACCUGUGGAGGCUGCCCACCGAGUGAAGCUGCAGGCUGCCCAUCCCAUCGCAGUAGCUCCUUAGUUGUCGCUUGCACUCUAUCCUGCCACCCUUGUGAAGAAGGUGCCUGCUUCUCCUUUACCUUGCGCCAUGAUUGUAAGUUACCUGUGGCCUCCCCAGCAAUACACAAC
rnacentral:lncRNA from 10 species